ensembl:lncRNA
GCAGGGGAAGUGGUGUUUGUCCUGCAAGUGUCCACCAGCUCACAGCACAGGAAGCGGAUGUUGUAGUUGUAGCAGAUGGGGGGCAGCUGGUCCUUGUUCCGGCAAAUCAGGCCCACGGAUUUGUUACAGAUCACGUCCUGGCCCAGCUCCUGCAGUGGGGUGUCAGGGAAGCUCUCUGCCCGGCACUGCACAUCCUUGGGCUCUGCACAGAAUUUAUAACCUUUGGCUCUGAGAUUCGAAAUAGUGUCAAAAUCUCCACUGUUUCUCCCUGAGCCAGGGUAGCUGCCGUCUAUCCACUCAGUCCAGUUGCAUAAAACUUGUAAACAGGUGACCGUGGUGGGCUCAGGUGAGGACGGCUCUGAGGACCUUGGAGCUGUGGACAACACAGAAGUUGUGCUUGAAAUUGUUGUUGAAUUGUUGGUGCUGCUUGUGUGCACAGGGGUUGGACUGGUUGAAGGAGCCGAGGUUGUGCUGCUUGUCUGCACAGAGAUUGUACUGGUUGUAGGAGCUGAGGCUGUGCUGCUUGUCUGCACAGGGGUUGUACUGGUUGUAGGAGCUGAGGCUGUGCUGCUUGUCUGCACAGAGAUUGUACUGGUUGUAGGAGCUGAGGUUGUGCUGCUUCUCUGCACAGGGGUUGUACUGGUUGUAGGAGCCGAGGUGGUGCUGCUUGUCUGCACAGAGAUUGUACUGGUUGUAGGAGCUGAGGCUGUGCUGCUUGUCUGCACAGGGGUUGGACGGGUUGUCGGAGCUGAGGUUGUGCUGCUUGUCUGCACAGAGGUUGAGCUCGUUGUAGGAACUGAGGUGGUGCUGCUUGUCUGCACAGGGGUUGCACUGGUUGUAGGAGCCGAGGUGGUGCUGCUUGUGUGCACAGAGGUUGCACUGGAUGUGGCCUCAUGGAAGGUGGUCCCUGUGUGCACAGUGACACUCACACUGGAGGUGCUGGUUACUGUGACAGUCGGGGGAGGGCAGUGUUCUUGGGGCUCGCAGCACAGCACUCUGAUCUGGUAGUUGAGGCACAGCCUGGUCUUGCCCUUCUGGUCCUGGUUCCGACACAGCAGGCCCACGUCCUGGUGGCACUGUACCAGCUGGCCCAGCUCGUGGAUGCUGACCCCGGGGUGGUUCUCGGCUCGGCACUCCACUUUGCUGAUGGAUUCAGGUCGGUGGCAGAUGCUGUCUCCAUUCCUCAUGAUGUUGCCGAAGGUUUCAUUGUCUCCCCCGUGGGGCCCGGGCACUGGGAAGUCCACGUCGAGCCAUUUGGUCCACCUGCACUUUGGCUUGCAGGGGGUGGUCCCUGGAGAGGACUGCUCGUGCGUGCUGGGCGUGCCCCAUCUUGAUGGGGUCACGUGAGGUGAGCUAGCAGUGCU